rnacentral:rRNA from 1 species
AGUGAACGCUGGCGGUAGGCCUAACACAUGCAAGUCGAACGGCAGCACAGUAAGAGCUUGCUCUUACGGGUGGCGAGUGGCGGACGGGUGAGGAAUACAUCGGAAUCUACUUUUUCGUGGGGGAUAACGUAGGGAAACUUACGCUAAUACCGCAUACGACCUACGGGUGAAAGCAGGGGAUCUUCGGACCUUGCGCGAUUGAAUGAGCCGAUGUCGGAUUAGCUAGUUGGCGGGGUAAAGGCCCACCAAGGCGACGAUCCGUAGCUGGUCUGAGAGGAUGAUCAGCCACACUGGAACUGAGACACGGUCCAGACUCCUACGGGAGGGAGCAGUGGGGAAUAUUGGACAAUGGGCGCAAGCCUGAUCCAGGCAUACCGCGUGGGUGAAGAAGGCCUUCGGGUUGUAAAGCCCUUUUGUUGGGAAAGAAAAGCAGCAGGUUAAUACCCCGCUGUUCUGACGGUAACCAAAGAAUAAGCACCGGCUAACUUCGUG